rnacentral:rRNA from 2 species
GGACUACUGGGGUUUCUAAUCCUGUUUGAUCCCCACGCUUUCGUGCCUCAGCGUCAAUCUUCCUGUAGUCAGCUGCCUUCGCAAUCGGUGUUCUAUGUCAUAUCUAAGCAUUUCACCGCUACAUGACAUAUUCCGCUGACCUCCGGGAUAUUCAAGAUAUAUAGUAUCAAUGGCAGUUUCGGAGUUAAGCUCCGAGAUUUCACCACUGACUUACAUACCCGCCUACGCACCCUUUAAACCCAGUGAAUCCGGAUAACGCUUGCACCCUCCGUAUUACCGCGGCGGCUGGCAC